GACGAACGCUGGCGGCGUGCUUAACACAUGCAAGUCGAACGGAAAGGCCCUGCUUUUGUGGGGUGCUCGAGUGGCGAACGGGUGAGUAACACGUGAGUAACCUGCCCUUGACUUUGGGAUAACUUCAGGAAACUGGGGCUAAUACCGGAUAGGAGCUCCUGCUGCAUGGUGGGGGUUGGAAAGUUUCGGCGGUUGGGGAUGGACUCGCGGCUUAUCAGCUUGUUGGUGGAGUAGUGGCUUACCAAGGCUUUGACGGGUAGCCGGCCUGAGAGGGUGACCGGCCACAUUGGGACUGAGAUACGGCCCAGACUCCUACGGGAGGCAGCAGUGGGGAAUAUUGCACAAUGGGCGGAAGCCUGAUGCAGCAACGCCGCGUGCGGGAUGACGGCCUUCGGGUUGUAAACCGCUUUCGCCUGUGACGAAGCGUGAGUGACGGUAAUGGGUAAAGAAGCACCGGCUAACUACGU
rnacentral:rRNA from 1 species